UAGGGAAAGACGGCCGUGGAAAGCCUAAUUUGGGAGUUACACGCAUUCUCCUGCCCAGCCAGCAAAAUCCCUCAGGCUGGUGAUGGGCGCCUUGCAAGCAAGCACCCAGCUCCCCGACCGCAGCUCCUCCCCUAGAGGCGAAGCAGGGGAUUUACCGGUGCCGGAUUAACCAAUUAACGCCGUGGGACAGAGGACCGGCAGGCCACCAGGACUGCAGAUGGACUCUUCACACCCAGGACUCUGCCUGCUGCCAGGCCUUCCAACAACGGUCACGUGGACGCCUGCCCUGAGCUCCGGUGUUUUGCCGGUUUGUCACCGAUGCUUCCGGCAGCCCUGCAAGGAAAAGAAGUCUUCCCCAGAACUCAUCUAAGAGGGAUUUGCUUCUGCUUCAUUGGGUGGGGCGUAGUGACUCCGGGACAAAUUGGUGGCCAAGAAGAGGAGAUCCCGAGGCUGACUGAGUCAAAACCACUCCCCGAAGGUGAGGAAGAGGAGAUCCCGGCCACUGCUGCACAGAUGGAGGCACUGAUGAGUGAUGAGUGGCAUCAGAUGCACAGUGUGACUUCUGGAACACGUUGUGCCCCUGUCCUCUGACAGCCUGAUGUUCUCCACCCCCAC